UACGGAGGGUGCAAGCGUUGUCCGGAUUUAUUGGGUUUAAAGGGUGCGUAGGCGGUGCUUUAAGUCCGGGGUGAAAGCCCACUGCUCAACAGUGGAACUGCCCUGGAUACUGGCGGGCUUGAGUCCAGACGAGGUUGGCGGAAUGGAUGGUGUAGCGGUGAAAUGCAUAGAUACCAUCCAGAACCCCGAUUGCGUAGGCAGCUGACUAGGCUGGUACUGACACUGAGGCACGAAAGCGUGGGGAGCGAACAGG
rnacentral:rRNA from 1 species